UAAGGAAUAUUGGACAAUGGAGGCAACUCUGAUCCAGCCAUACCGCGUGAAGGAAUAAGGCCCUAUGGGUUGUAAACUUCUUUUAGACGGGACAAAACCCCUUUACGUGUAAAGGGUUGAUGGUACUGUCAGAAUAAGCAUCGGCUAACUUCGUGCCAGCAGCCGCGGUAAUACGAAGGGUGCAAGCGUUACUCGGAAUUACUGGGCGUAAAGCGUGUGUAGGUGGUUGUUUAAGUCUGAUGUGAAAGCCCUGGGCUCAACCUGGGAAUGGCAGUGGAAACUGGGAAGCUAGAGUGCGGUAGAGUGUAGUGGAAUUCCCGGUGUAGCAGUGAAAUGCGUAGAGAUCGGGAGGAACAUCUGUGGCGAAGGCGACUGCCUGGACCAGCACUGACACUGAGGCACGAAAGCGUGGGGAGCAAACA
rnacentral:rRNA from 1 species